AGUGGAUGGUUAAUCCUCUUGGGUCUGAGAUUCACAGCGCAGCAAAGGCUGCAACCACCCUCCACCGCGUCAUUCUUACGAAGACGCCACCAAAUCAAACCAAAUUGCACUCUAAUUCAAAUACGCUUCUGUUCUCUCUCUCUCCCCCCAAACCCAAGUUUCCCCAUUUGUUUCCAAGUUGCACUUCAAAUUCAUCACACUUUUUCCAUUCAUCUCAAAUUCUCUCCAAUUUCAAACCCUAACCCUAGCCUCUCUGCAGAUGAACCCCUACGAUAACAGAUACUCUGACGCCGCUUCUUAUCGCAACCGUCGCAGCGAUAUCCUCGGUUCUGGACCAUUCAUGCCGCCUCCUGUUGUAGGUCGUGGUGCUGCGGUCCCCUACGGUGCCCCUCCGGUCCCUUAUGGUGCAGGAAGAGGAGCUCCGAAUGCCUUCGGGUCCUCGUCGGUAACUUCCUUUACGCCCCCUCCUGGUGGUUUCAAUAUAGGCCGAGGCGGUGGUGGACUUGGUAAUGGCCAUGCUGGUGGCAGAAAAGACGGCGGAGGUCGUUACGGUACUGGUGGAAGAGGUCGCGGAGGUACUGGUAGAAACGGCGGAACUGGUAGAGGCGGUGGAAGCGGUUUUAGGGGAGGCAGAAGUCAUGGUGGUGGAAGAGGAGGAGGAGGUGGUAGACAUGGUGGACGGUCAUCGAAGGAUGAAUUGAACAAGAUUUCCUUGCCAAAGCAGGAUUUUAAGAAUUUGGUCCCUUUUGAGAAGAAUUUCUACGUUGAGUCCCCUGCAGUGAGGGCCAUGUCCGAUCAAGAAGUGAUGCAUUAUCGUGCCAGUAGAGAAAUAACAGUGCAAGGCCAUGAUGUGCCGAAACCCAUUCGGAUGUUCCAUGAGGCCAGGUUUCCUGAUUACUGCCUUGAGGUGAUUGAAAACCUGGGAUUUGUUGAGCCGACUCCAAUCCAGGCCCAGGGUUGGCCGAUGGCUCUUAAAGGCAGAGAUUUGAUUGGCAUUGCGGAGACUGGCUCCGGCAAAACUUUGUCAUAUCUGCUUCCUGCUUUGGUGCAUGUCAGUGCACAACCUCGACUGUCACAUGGGGAUGGUCCCAUUGUCUUAGUUUUAGCACCAACUAGAGAGUUAGCUGUUCAAAUUCAAGAAGAAGCUCAGAAAUUCGCAGGACGGGCAAAUAUUAGAACUACAUGCAUCUAUGGUGGUGCACCAAAGGGACCUCAAAUUCGUGACCUUCAAAGGGGUGUAGAGAUUGUUAUUGCUACACCAGGUCGCCUUAUAGAUAUGCUGGAAGCUCAGCACACAAACUUGCAGAGAGUUACUUACCUUGUCUUGGAUGAAGCUGAUAGGAUGUUGGACAUGGGUUUUGAACCUCAGAUAAGGAAAAUUGUAGGCCAGAUUCGACCAGAUAGACAGACGUUAUAUUGGAGUGCUACAUGGCCAAAGGAGGUUGAAGCUCUGGCAAGGCAGUUCCUGCGCAACCCAUAUAAGGUAAUUAUUGGGUCACCGGAACUGAAAGCAAACCAAUCUAUAAAUCAAGUUGUUGAAGUUGUGACAGAUGCAGAGAAAUAUAACAGAUUGAUUAGAUUGCUGAAAGAAGUGAUGGAUGGGAGCCGAAUUCUAAUAUUUAUGGAGACAAAAAAGGGAUGUGAUCAAAUUACAAGACAAUUGAGGAUGGAUGGAUGGCCAGCUCUAUCCAUCCAUGGUGAUAAAAACCAGGCUGAAAGAGACUGGGUUUUGGCUGAGUUUAAGAAUGGUAGAAGUCCAAUAAUGACUGCCACUGAUGUUGCUGCACGGGGUCUUGGUAGGAUCACUGUGUAUUAAGAAUCAUAGGAAUUUUGGAAUAGGUCUAAAACUUUAACCAUAGGUGAGUCGGCCGGCUGCUGUCCAGUUCUUGAUAUAAUUUGUGGUUUGGGUUCAUGGGGGAGCAUAUUGUCACUUUGUCAGGGUGUUGGGACCGCCUGUAACUUGACCAGGGGAUCAAUGAGUUGCAUUCAGUGGUGAAAUUAUUUUACUGCAGUAAGUGGACUGCCUCUUGUUAUUAAUCUGAGAACUAUCCUUUUCAAAUGUCAAGUUACAUGGAUGCCUGAGGCAGAGUUCCAUUGGUAUGGCUUGGAUGUUUAUCCAAAAUUUGAGGUGGUACAUCGUGUUGUGUUAUCCUGAAAAUGUGAUAAAUUGGGUUAUUCGUGCAUUUUACAUGGUUGGGAAAGCAAGAUUGAUUAUCAAUUAUAAACUAGUGUUGCCAAUGCAAGUCAUACCACAUUAUCACCACUUGUAAAUUUUUUAACAACAUAGUUAUCCCCAUCCACAGUUAUGGAGCUGGUUACUCUCUGCAGCCUGGUUGACUAAUGCAUACUUAGUAGAUAAUUGGAUGUGGUAGACGGCAGUGAUGGUGAGGCUGCUCCUUAUCCCUGAAAGGUUAAGAUGUGAAAGACAUAAAAUGUGUGGUCAAUUAUGAUUUUCCUUCAAGCCUGGAAGAUUAUGUACACAGAAUUGGUCGAACUGGUCGUGCAGGGGCUAAAGGGACUGCGCACACCUUCUUCACACAUGCUAAUGCUAAGUAUGCGAGGG